rnacentral:lncRNA from 1 species
CCGCCGCUCGCCCCCUCGCUGGCCAGCCGCGGGGCUGGCACGACUCGCUUGGGGCUCCGCGGCCACAGCGCAGGCGGAAGGUGGAUCCUACUGGCCUUGCUGACCUCCGGCCGGGAACGGCGGACAGGCGCCGGGAAGGGAGGCCACCGCGCGUCUGCGAGAUUUUCUGUUCUCUUCUCUCCCGCAAACCCCUCUGCUUCUAAACCACCAGUCCUCCUGCCCCUGGCCUCGGGAGCAAUGCCCACACUCCCAAGCCAUCGUUAACCCCGGGCGCGGAGAUGCGGAGAGACCGCACUCAGGUUCGGGCCCUCCUGACACCUUAAGGAACCGUCUGGCCGGACUAGCAGAGGGUGCUCCCAGGGGAGCACUACAUCAGCCAUCGGGAGAAGUGUGUGAUGUUGAAGAAGACAAGUCACCCGCGUCAGUUCUCCAUCACUGCGCCUUCGGUCGCCUGCAACCGGGCACCUUAUAGCAAGCAUUUUUACUCAUGUAAAAUAGCGUCUUGUGGCCGUCAGCUGCCACUACGGAAUUUCUGCUGUUCCCUUUCCCAAACCAAUUUAACUAACUUCCCCGACUGUGGGUUUAUUCAAAUCCACUGCCAAGUUUCGCAGAUUAAAUAUUCGACCGUCGUUUUUUUCAGCCCCCAAAUGAUCUGAUUUAUCUUAUCCUUGCUUCUGACGAUCUGUAAUGUAAAUUAAAGACCCCUACUUCCCAGAUGUACUUGAGUGAGGUGCCCUGGUAAGCUGGCUUUUUUGCAGCCCCGGCUUGGUGAUUAAGUCGAAUCUCUCUACCAAUCCUCCGGGGCCAGAGGUAAAAUUUAAUCACCCCGAAGUGUGAGAGGUUCUACUUUUUCUGAGCAGUUAGUGCGUCAGUCUUUGUGGUUUUUUGGGUUUAGGGUUAGGAGAAAGGGGUAAGUGAAAGAAAAGAAUAAGGAAAGAAGUAAGUUUGUUUUUCUUGGGAGCAGGUUCUUUUAGUCACUCUUCAACAUGUGGGAUGUUUCGUAAAGUUUUGUUGGCAUGGGCGGUUUCAACUGUAUUUUAGGAUUUGAAAUAGAAAAAGUGAAGACCACUAAGGAUCCCAUUUUUCAUAUACAAGUGACUUGAGGAAAUUCCUUUGGCUCCUAUCAGCUUAGUUCAUGGUAGAGCCCUUCUGUAGCCGUGAAAGCUAGCAGAGAGUCUAGCUUUUAAAUUUUCUUGCAUUUGCUCCAGGUAAUUGAAGACUUGUUAUGGGACAGGUACUCUUCCAGACACUUGACACAUAUGAGGAAUGGCAGGCAAUGAAGAAGUUGAAUGACUUGCACUAGGUCUUCUAUCGAUAGCGGCUCCAGGCUCCCGGGGUUAGCAUUGUUGUUCCAGAGCCUACACUCUAAACCACUGUUAAACCAGGACAGGUUGUAACAGUUUUUAAUCUUUAAUCUUUAGAACAAGUGUAUUUUCAAGGACCUUGAACUAGUCUCGAUUGACAAACUCUAAAGCUUUUGAAGUGCAACCAGCUGGGUUGAUCGGUCUUUUCACAGAUAUCUGAGGUACAGCUCAUUAACAUAAUGGAUGUAGUCCCGAGGGGGCAGUUGGGGGAAGACAGGAGAUGGGAGAGAAGUCAAUUCUACAGUAUUUUUUGCAUUAAAUAGGUGCCUAGCGCUGUGAAGGAUUCUGUUCUCUGACUUUGGGAGGGCCAGUGCAGAAGAAUCAAGACAGAAUAUGCUCCCGUGUGGGCCAGGCUGUGAAUUCUUUGAAAGAAGCUGCAGAGAAGCAACAAAGAUUAUCCUAAGACUUCUGGAGGAAGAAUUAGGAUCCUUCUGCAGGAACUCAGUUUACUGUGAAUUGAAGUCGUGGUCGUGGUUUGCAGUUUGUUGUUGGUGGUGGCAGUGGUGGUGGUUGGUUGUGGUGAGUGUGUCUGUGUGUAUGUGUUUGCCAGUUACUGGUUUCUCCUAAUUGUAAGAGGUUUAGAGGGUUCUUUACUUCACUAAUGUAGUCUUCUUUGUUCUGGUAGUUAGAUCAGCCCCCACGGUAUUUGUGGAAGACUUUUCAUUAUAAGGGCUUUUGAAUGUGGUUUGUGUCUAGGCUUUAGUAAAACUAAGAAUUCUAGAACAGCUAUUUAAUGAAACCUUGUUUCUCAAGUCUUGAUUUAGCUACAGGCAGAAAAAAGAAAAAAAAAAAAACAA